rnacentral:rRNA from 1 species
UACGAAGGGGGCUAGCGUUGCUCGGAAUCACUGGGCGUAAAGCGCACGUAGGCGGGUUCUUAAGUCAGGGGUGAAAUCCUGGAGCUCAACUCCAGAACUGCCUUUGAUACUGGGAAUCUCGAGUCCGGGAGAGGUGAGUGGAACUGCGAGUGUAGAGGUGAAAUUCGUAGAUAUUCGCAAGAACACCAGUGGCGAAGGCGGCUCACUGGACUGGUAUUGACGCUGAGGUGCGAAAGCGUGGGGAGCAAACAGG